AGGGGGGGUGCGGUGGGGCAGAUAAGAGAAUAAAAGGCUGCUGGAAUAGGCAGUGGCAAUCCGUUUGGGUAGUCUUCCUUGCUGUGGAGGUUUUGUUUUUUCACUCUUUGUAGUAAAUCUUGCUGCUGAUCACUUUUUGGGUGCAUGCUGGCUUUAUGAGCUGUAACGCUCACUGCGAAGGUCUGCAGCUUCACUCCUGAAGCCAGCGAGACCAGGAAUCCACCGGGAGGAAUGAAUAAGUCCAGGCGUGCUGCCUUAAGAGCUGUAACACUCCUGGCAAAGGCCUGCAGCUUCACUCCUGAAGCCAGCGAGACCGUGAACCCACCAGAAGGAAGAAACUCCGAACACAUCCGAACAUCAGAAGGAACAAACUCUGGACACGCCGCCUUUAAGAACUGUGACACUCACCGCGAGGGUCUGCGGCUUCAUUCUUGAAACCACAGACACUAGUAUACUCUAAUAUUUGGAAAGACAACUGGCUUUGGAGAUCGGCAGCUUUGGAAUUACAUCUCAGCUUCACCACUUACUGGCUGUAGGAGCCAAUCAUCAGAUAGAUAAAAGUAGUAAUGAGUUGGACCAAUAAAAAGUGCAAAGCCUGGCUUUCUUCAAGUCCUCAUGCUCCGAGAGUCUAAGUAACAACGUUGUGAGGCUGCAAUUUUCUUUCAGGUUGCAG